UGGGCAGAACCAGGAAGCAGAUAGACGGCACAGUCGCCUCGCUGCCUUUAUCGUUCAGCACCCUCCACUUGUAGGGCUGCGAGUUGUUCAACAGAGCGCACUCGUCUCCUCUGUGGACUGUGAUCUGCAGGAAGGUGAACAUGGAUGCUCACGUCUGACUGAGUCCACUACUGGAUAUUCCUGAGUCAAUGAGCUCCAUCCUACCUCCAUCUGUUUGAAGUCACAGACGGCCUGGAUGGGCAGCUUGCUCUUUAUCGCAGUGGCGGGAUUGCGUGGUUUCAGCUGGACGAUGGUUUUGGCUCUUCGCUUCAGGCCUUCCAGGUGAGUUUUGAACUCGGUCAGUUGCUCUUUCUCAUCCUGUGAAGAACACAGGAGUGAACAUGCAGAGUCUUAACUCACUGUGACAACAUGUAGAAACAGUUUAACUGCCAGCACACAGAACAAGUCGGACUCUUCCACAGUACAAUGACAGCAUCGCAAUGUGUUUGCCUCCUUCACGUCGGAGAAAAACUAGACAGACGAGGAGGAAAAGAGGAGAAGAAAUCAGAACUCAGAUACACAAAACAAAAUGGCAGCACAUUCACUAAAGGGCAGGACAGCGACGACAAACUGUGCCUUAAUGAAGUGAGUAAACACACCUGGAAGUAGGCGGUGUUUUCCUUCAGGUGGGUCUCAAUGCAGCAGCACAGCUGGAGGAUCCAGCUCCACUGAGUCUGCAGAGCUGCGGUGAAGGCCUGAGGAGGGAGGAAAACGGUGUCCAUCCCUCAGCAGUUUGUCUCCUGUGGCCUGAACACCGUUCAUCUUCUUCUCCCUGAGCUCCAGCUCUCUCAUCAAACCCUGCACCCCACAAACAACAACAACCAGACCACAUCAGCUCUUUGGUGGCUGCAGUGACGAAGGCGUGAAGCUGGUCCAGGUAGUGCAGCCGAGCCUUAGAGGAGCUCUGAACGGAGGCGGAUUACAAAAGAUGUCAAGACUUUCUGAGGACUGACUUAAUGCGAACACUACAGCCAGGAAACAGAAAAUAAUUUCGCUUUUUUUUUUCCUGUUUGUGUCUUUUUUUGUAACUUACCAGGAGUUUGCCGUACUGCAGCUCCAGUUUUCCCAGAUAGUCGCGGUAGGCAGCUUUGCUGACAGCCUUUGCCCUCUCGAUCUUGGAGCGGAACUCCUCCACAGACUGGUGCAGGCCGCGGUGGCUGCCCAACUGGGACUCAACAGUGGGCAGGUCGGAGCCCCACUCCCCGUCAUCCACCCGCCGCUGGUUCUCCUCCACCCAGC